rnacentral:rRNA from 1 species
UACAGAGGGGGCCAGCGUUAUUCGGAAUUACUGGGCGUAAAGCGCGCGUAGGCGGCUUUGCAAGUUAGAGGUGAAAGCCCGGAGCUUAACUCCGGAACUGCCUUUAAAACUGCAUCGCUUGAAUCGUGGAGAGGUGAGUGGAAUUCCGAGUGUAGAGGUGAAAUUCGUAGAUAUUCGGAAGAACACCAGUGGCGAAGGCGACUCACUGGACACGUAUUGACG